CUUGUUUCUGUCUCUUGUUAGUUUAAGCACAGUUCAGUUUGUUGGAAUGAGUUCCAAUAAUUUUUGUGAAAAAUGAAGAAUUCUAGCAAUUCCUGUAUUGACAUUUCCUUGCAAGAAUUUAAAUGAUGAUUCAAUUAAGUAAAAUCUAAAAUUUUCCUUUGAAGUUUCAUCCUUCUCUCCUGCAGUUAGUUUAAUUUGCAUCCUUUUCUCCUGUAGUUUAGGAUUGAUCAACUCUCACACUCUGAUCACUUGACUCCAUCAGCAAGUGUCACUCACUUUUCUUACUUUCAAUAAAGGAGGGGAAAAAGAAGGAUGAAAUGUGCCACUCUAAUCUCCCUUUACAACUAUCAUCUUUUUUUUUUUCUAUUUACUCUUCCCAGGGAGAAAACAAUAUUUUAUGUUGUCAUCUUUCUCCCUGUUACAUUAUCUCUAUUUAUGAUAUUGUGACACUUGAAAAUCAUAUUACUUUCAAUUUAAUUAUUAUUUUAUUUCCAGUUUGUUGUUCUUUAAUCGUAGAGAACAAGGCUGGCUGAUACAAUAAACAAUCUUUAUCAUUUGUUUAUUUCACUCAGAUAUCACUCCACUUAAAUUCCUUUUAUAUUUUUUCCUUGAAGAGAAGUAAAGUGACAGCCUACACCAGGUUUGAAUUCUGUAUCCCCACAUUCACAUCCAAGUCUGUCUCUGUUAAUAAUCUUUUCAACAUAGUCUCAUUGAAUAAUCCUGCUACAAACUGGUCAAUUAAAUUCUCUUCUAGCACACCAUCCAAGAAUUCAUAUUUAUUAUCCUAUUGUCUUAACCUUAUGACAAAUGCAUCAACAUUUUUGUACUCAUAUUGUUUCAUUUAACAAAACUUAUAUCUUUCCACUGCUUUAUUCAAUUUAGG
rnacentral:lncRNA from 1 species